rnacentral:rRNA from 1 species
UGGGGAAUCUUCGACAAUGGGCGCAAGCCUGAUCCAGCCAUGCCGCGUGCGUGAUGACGCCCCUCGGGUUGUAAAGCUCUUUCCCCUGUGAAGAUAAUGACGGUAACCGGAGAAGAAGCCCCGGCUCACUUCGUGCCCGCAGCCGCGGUAAUACGAAGGGGGCUCGCGUUGUUCGGAUUUACUGGGCGUAAAGCGCACGUAGGCGGACUAUUAAGUCAGGGGUGAAAUCCCGGGGCUCAACCCCGGAACUGCCUUUGAUACUGGUAGUCUUGAGGUCGGGAGAGGUGAGUGGAAUUCCGGGUGUAGAGGUGAAAUUCGUAGAUAUUCGGAGGAACACCAAUGGCGAAGGCGGCGCACUGGCUCGAUACUGACGCUGAGGUGCGAAAGCGUGGGGAGCAAACAGG